GUUUAAGCAGCGCUACUAUGAAUUUCUUGACUAUUUCAGAAUUCCAGAUGGUCCCAUUUUUUUGAAUAUUUGUGGUGAAUCUUCAUGCAACGGCAUAGCCAAUGACUACCUCAGCGGUUUUGGCUAAAAAGUUUGGAGCAGCCGUUGUUUCACUUGAGCAUCGUUACUAUGGUAAAAGCACACCAUUCAAAUCAACUAAGACAAAGAAUUUGAGGUAUCUUUCAUCUAAACAGGCGCUCUUUGACUUGGCCAUUUUCCGUCAGCAUUAUCAGGAAUCCUUAAAUCUGAAGCUCAAUAGAACAAAUGUUGAAAAUCCCUGGUUUGUUUUUGGCAUAUCAUACGCUGGAGCUCUCAGUGCGUGGUUCCGUCUUAAGUUUCCACAUUUAACAUGUGGAAGUCUUGCAAGUUCUGCUGUUGUUCUUGCUGUUUACAACUUCACUGAAUUUGAUCAGCAGAUUGGUGAAUCAGCUGGUGCUAAAUGUAAAGCUGCAUUACAAGAAACUACUCGACUUGUUGAAGAAAGGCUGGCAUCAGAACAAAAUGCAGUAAAAACAUUAUUUGAUGCAGCUGAGCUUGAAAUCGAUGGUGAUUUCCUGUAUUUCCUGGCAGAUGCUGCUGUUAUAGCGUUUCAAUAUGGGAAUCCCGAUAAAUUAUGCUCCCCUCUUGUUGAAGC
rnacentral:misc_RNA from 1 species